CCUACGGUAGGCAGCAGUAGGGAAUUUUCGUCAAUGGGCGCAAGCCUGAACGAGCAAUGCCGCGUGAACGAGGAAGGUCUUCGGAUCGUACAGUUCUGUUGACGGGGAAUAAGAGCGGAGAGAGGAAAUGGUCUCCGAUUGAUAUUACCCUUCGAGGAAGUCACGGCUAACUACGUGCCAGCAGCCGCGGUAAUACGUAGGUGGCGGACGUUAUCCGGAAUGAUUGGGCGUAAAGGGUGCGUAGGCGGCCUGCUAAGUCUGGAGUGAAAGGUACCGGCCCAACCGGUACAGUAACUGGAAACUGGCGGGCUAGAGAGUAGGAGAGGGCGGUGGAACUCAAGGUGUAGCGGUAAAAUGCGUAGAUAUAUGGAAGAACACCAGUGGCGAAGGCGGCCGCCUGGACUGUGACUGACGCUGAGGCACGAAAGCGUGGGGAGCAAAUAGGAUUAGAUACCCCUGUAGUC
rnacentral:rRNA from 1 species